AGGGAGUUAGUCCAAAAUACAAGACCUUUGAUUUCGGCUCAUAAAAUCGUGGUUUAACUCCACGACUCCCUU
rnacentral:tRNA from 1 species